GGGCCCGCACAAGCAGCGGAGCAUGUGGUUUAAUUCGAAGCAACGCGAAGAACCUUACCAGGGCUUGACAUCCCUUGAAGUGCAUAGAAAUAUGUACGCCCUUCGGGGCAAGGAGACAGGUGGUGCAUGGUUGUCGUCAGCUCGUGUCGUGAGAUGUUGGGUUAAGUCCCGCAACGAGCGCAACCCUUAUGGUUAGUUGCCAGCACGAAAGGUGGGAACUCUAAUCAGACUGCCGGGGAUAACUCGGAGGAAGGUGGGGACGACGUCAAAUCAUCAUGCCCCUUAUGCCCUGGGCUACACACGUGCUACAAUGGCCGGUACAAAGAGCAGCGAAGCCGCGAGGUGGAGCGAAUCUCGAUAAAACCGGUCUCAGUUCGGAUCGUGGGCUGCAACCCGCCCACGUGAAGCCGGAGUUGCUAGUAAUCGCGAAUCAGCAUGUCGCGGUGAAUGCGUUCCCGGGCCUU
rnacentral:rRNA from 1 species